rnacentral:rRNA from 1 species
AGAACGAACGCUGGCGGCAGGCUUAACACAUGCAAGUCGAACGCUCGUAGCAAUACGGGAGUGGCAGACGGGUGAGUAACGCGUGGGAACCUUCCCUGUGGUACGGAAUAACUUCGGGAAACCGAAGCUAAUACCGUAUAUCUCCUCCGGGAGAAAGAUUUAUCGCCAUAGGAUGGGCCCGCGUUGGAUUAGCUAGUUGGUGAGGUAACGGCUCACCAAGGCAACGAUCCAUAGCUGGUCUGAGAGGAUGAUCAGCCACACUGGGACUGAGACACGGCCCAGACUCCUACGGGAGGCAGCAGUGGGGAAUAUUGGACAAUGGGCGCAAGCCUGAUCCAGCCAUGCCGCGUGAGUGAAGAAGGCCUUAGGGUUGUAAAGCUCUUUUGGCGGGGACGAUAAUGACGGUACCGCAGAAUAAGCCCGGCUAACUUCGUGCCAGCAGCCGC